AGCAGCUCAUCCUUCCAUCUUCUCAUGCUCUCUCUGUUAUUUCUUUGCCACAGGAUCUGGGAAUCUCAUCGCUGCUCUCUUUGUUUGGGCCCAGAGGUUCCUCUUCUGCUGCACUUCUAGAGUUAGUCCUGUUGCACUGGUGCUGUUCAGGAGAAGAUGAACUGACAGUAACUCUGCUGUGUCUCUCUUGUGACCACACCAAAGUUUGACAAGUCACAUUCCUAUAAACUGAAUUUCUUUAGUAAUGAGUGAUCAAGCUUCAAAUCAGGAGCCCAUUUGAGAGCUGCCUUACAGAUCUUCAGGGAGGACAUUCUCUGAUCCAGGGAGCUUAAGCCUGUAAGUGGAAGCCUGGAAACAGCCAGUAUAGACAAAUAAAUAUGUG
rnacentral:lncRNA from 1 species